rnacentral:rRNA from 1 species
AUGGAGGGCUUGCUUCAUUGGGACUUUGCACUGGGCAUUGCCCUAGCCGAACAAGUGAGGCGAAGGUUUGAUUCGACGGUCCAUUUCUCACCCUCUCGAGGUGCCAAGGAGUUCUUUCUGGUAGUUUCUUUCUCCUCGGCCUCCUUUACUCUUUCGGCGGAUUCGGUUGGCAUCGCUCUGCAAUGUUGUGUUGGUGGUCUUUGUUCGGGCUUCAAUGUGGUGCAAAUCAGUUCUCACUCCUUUUGGUUUCUAUGGCAAACAACAAAGUGGGGCAUUUGA